rnacentral:rRNA from 1 species
GACGAACGCUGGCGGCGUGCUUAACACAUGCAAGUCGAGCGGACCUUCCACUUCGGUGGUACUCGAGCGGCGAACGGGUGAGUAACACGUGAGUAAUCUGCCCUUCACUCUGGGAUAGCCACCGGAAACGGUGAUUAAUACCGGAUACGACCACUCCACGCAUGUGGUGGUGGUGGAAACUUUUUUGGGUGGGGGAUGUGCUCGCGGCCUAUCAGCUUGUUGGUGGGGUAAUGGCCGACCAAGGCUUCGACGGGUAGCCGGCCUGAGAGGGUGACCGUCCAAACUGGGACUGAGGCACGGCCCGGACGCCUACGGGAGGCAGCAGUGGGAAAUAUUGCACAAUGGGCGGAAGCCUGAUGCAGCAACGCCGCGUGAGGGAUGACGGCCUUCGGGUUGUAAACCUCUUUUAGUAGGGAAGAAGCGAAAGUGACGGUACCUGCAGAAAAAGCACCGGCUAACUACGUGCCAGCCGCCGCCGUAA